UUAGCUUGUUUCAGGCAUAUGUAAAUCCGUUUAUGCGACGCUGCGGGAUCAAAACAAGAUCAAGUGAUCAAAAGAUUGACUGAUUCUAUUGUCAGCUCAUUUCAGGCAUAGGCAAACCAGUUCAGUGCGGCGCAACGGUGGUUUGUGAUUGAGACUGACGCGAUUCUAUCAUCGGAUGCUGAGGGCUUCAGCCAGGAAUCCUCCCUGGUUUUCUCCGCGUGUUGGUGGUGGUUUGAACACUGUGUGCAGUGAGACGCACGGAUUUUGUGUGAGUGAUAAGAGUUUACUCCAAAGUGUGUGUGGUACUAUUCCUUGUUCUUUAGCCCUCAGCCAAAACGACUUCUGAGUGUAAUGUUUGAUUAUAUUUGAUUUGUAGUGACUGAUUUUUGAGUGACUGUACUUCUGACAACAUAACAACCCGUUUUUAUUGGCAGAUGUUGCGGUGUGUCUUGCCUG